rnacentral:rRNA from 1 species
GGCGAGUGGCGAACGGGUGAGUAAUGCAUCGGAACGUACCUGGGAGUGGGGGAUAACUAUCCGAAAGGAUAGCUAAUACCGCAUAUUCUGUGCGCAGGAAAGCAGGGGAUCUUCGGACCUUGUGCUCUUGGAGCGGCCGAUGUCAGAUUAGCUAGUUGGUGGGGUAAAGGCCUACCAAGGCGACGAUCUGUAGCGGGUCUGAGAGGAUGAUCCGCCACACUGGAACUGAGACACGGUCCAGACUCCUACGGGAGGCAGCAGUGGGGAAUUUUGGACAAUGGGCGCAAGCCUGAUCCAGCCAUGCCGCGUGAGUGAAGAAGGCCUUCGGGUUGUAAAGCUCUUUCGGCCGGGAAGAAAUCGUACAGGUUAAUACCCUGUGCGGAUGACGGUACCGGCAUAAGAAGCACCGGCUAACUACGUGCCAGCAGCCGCGGUAAUACGUAGGGUGCGAGCGUUAAUCGGAAUUACUGGGCGUAAAGCGUGCGCAGGCGGUUUUUUAA